rnacentral:rRNA from 1 species
UGCCAGCCGCCGCGGUAAUACGGAGGGUGCGAGCGUUAAUCGGAAUUACUGGGCGUAAAGCGCGCGUAGGUGGUUUGAUAAGCUAGCUGUGAAAGCCCCGGGCUCAACCUGGGAACUGCAGUUAGAACUGUCUGGCUAGAGUAUAGUAGAGGGUGGCGGAAUUUCCUGUGUAGCGGUGAAAUGCGUAGAUAUAGGAAGGAACAUCAGUGGCGAAGGCGGCCACCUGGACUAAUACUGACACUGAAAGACGAAAGCUAGGGGAGCAAAUGGGAUUAGAUA